rnacentral:lncRNA from 1 species
AUGCCCCACAUAUCGUCUAGAUCUGAUCUACUUGGAGAAUGACAUGUGAGGUGAGGUCGAGAUCGAAGCUAUUUCGGGGCCUGGAAGAUGAAUGGUUCAAGAACCAAGAAUCGUGGUUCAAACCACCAGUGAUAUUGAUGUUCUGGGUGGGUUUAGAAAUUAGGGGUUCAGACAUUCUCUAGAAGAAAUUUUGUAAUUUUAAAUUAGCCAUAUUUUGGUGGGUUUAAUUUCAAACAUUUUUUUAGAAGAAGUUUGGUAAUUUGUUUUGCUGUAUUGUAUGUGUCUACGUUUACUAUUUGAUUGCCAUAAUUUCUUUUAAAGUUUCUACUCAGUGGGUGUUAUGGAUUUGCUCAUGUUGUGUUCUUAGACUUUCUAAACUAAGAAGUUUUCAAGAGUGUUUAGGUU